GAUGAACGCUGGCGGCGUGCCUAAUACAUGCAAGUCGAGCGAACAGACGAGGAGCUUGCUCCUCUGACGUUAGCGGCGGACGGGUGAGUAACACGUGGAUAACCUACCUAUAAGACUGGGAUAACUUCGGGAAAUCGGAGCUAAUACCGGAUAAUAUAUUGAACCGCAUGGUUCAAUAGUGAAAGACGGUUUUGCUGUCACUUAUAGAUGGAUCCGCGCCGCAUUAGCUAGUUGGUAAGGUAACGGCUUACCAAGGCAACGAUGCGUAGCCGACCUGAGAGGGUGGAUGGACAGACUGGAUGAGAGGAUCGGUACAGACUCCUACAGGAGGCAGCGGUCGAGAAUCUUACGCAAGGCGCGAAAGGGUGACGGAAGAAAACCGCGGGAGUGCUGAAGUAGCUAUGCUCGGAGAGCUCUGUAAGUAGUGGGGAACAAAUGUGCAAGUAGCUGUGAACAUCUUGACGGUACCUGAACAAGAAGCCACGGCUAACUACGUG
rnacentral:rRNA from 1 species